CCCACCCCCAGCGGGUCUCCUCCACCGCUGCGCUCCGACUUCCGGGGCGCGCAGACUAGGCGUCACAGUGACAGCGCCUCUGGGCGUCACAGUGACAGCGCCUCCGGGCGUCACAGUGACAGCGACCAGGGAAGCUCAGGAGGAAGCGGUGACUAGUGGAGGAGCCGCUCUCUGAGUCGCUGCAGGGAUGUCUGAGCAGCCUCUGCCACCAGCCAACAAUGGGGCCUCUGGCUCCGGAGACGCCCUGCCCGCGCCCAUGGCCUCCAGCAUCGACUCCUCCCGGGCUGGCUCACCCGGUGGAGGCUUAGGAACUGAGGUGGCCUCCAUGCUGCUCCACCCGCCACCACUCAUGCCGCCACCCAUGCCACCGCAUCAGCGGCCAACGCCGCCAGCGCUCCACCUGGCCUGGCCAUGUCCCUGGCUGGACCGCAGGCAUUCCGGGAUCAUCUGCAGAUGUUCAGGUCCCGGCCCUGGAGAUUUCGAGUAGUGCGGUGGCCUCUUUCUGAGCAGGAGCCACAGAGCGUUUGAAGAGCCUCUACCCGGCCGUGGACCAGAAGAAGACUCCACUGCCCAAGUCCUGGAGCCUGAAGGACAAGUUCAGCUAUAUCGACCUCUCACAAAACAACCUGUGGGUGCACUACAGAGGAAAUAACCUAGGAACCUUCUACAGAGGGCUUCUGAAAGCGAGAAGAAGAAAACAGGAAACAACCUAGGAACCUACCACAGAGGGCCUCUGAAAGCCUCUGCCCUGCAGACUAUCAAAGCAGACGCUGAACCUGAUGGCCAACUGUUGGGCAGAGUGAAUGGAAUUUUAUGUAAGAAGUGGGAAAUAGUAAGAGCUGGAGAGGACAGGGUCACCACAAGGAGAGCAACAGAACAAGAAAAUUUGAACACAGGGAACUUCCCAGAGACUCAUACUCCAACCAAGGACUAUUCAUGGAGAUAACCUAGAACCCCUGGACAGAUGUAGCCCAUGGCAGUUCAUUGUCCAAAUGGGUUACAUAGUAAUGGGAAGAGGGACUUCCUCUGACAUAAUCUGAUUGGCCUGCUCUUUGAUCACCUCCCCCUGAGGGGGGAGCAGCCUUACCAGGCCACAGUAGAGGAAAACAAGGUUUUUAAAAGAUACCAAUUAGCCUUUUGAAGAAAACUGCCUUAUAUUUUUCACCUGAAGCUAACAUACUUACCAACCUUAUGCUUCUGCUACUUCCCAUCCCCACUUUUCUGAGAUUAAAACAAAGUUUUAAACAAUUCAGUUGUAUAGAAAAUUAUAAAGGACAGGGGCGGGGUUGAAUUGUACCUGAGAUUAAUUGCCUGCAUCAAGUUUACUUGUGUGGGUCAGGCAAAAAACAAUGCAGUGCUAUCAGUUUGGAUACACAUCCCAGAGGCUCUAAAUCUAAAGCAGAGGAGUGUUUACAUUCUAAGCAGGUUCCUUUUGAUUGGCUCUAAAGGAAGGGGGGAGGGUCUUCAGAUCCUGGUGAUAUGUAGGUAGAGUAUACAAAUCUGUGGCAACAUUCAGAAAGAAUGAACAACUGGGGUUUGAGAAGAACCUUGAAAAAUCAGCUACUGUUUAAAUGAGUGUGGCAACAGAAAUCUGCUGAAUGAUUUGGAUGUAAAGAAUCUACACAAAGACGGGCCUUGUUACAUUUCUUCUUGUUGUCAUAGAUCCAAAGAAGUACUUACUAUUUCGAACAUUAUAUCCCUUUAUCUAAGUGGCUGAAAAUUGCAAAAUACCAAAGGGUUUUUUUUUCCUUUUAUUUAGGACGUUUUGUUGAUUUCCUUGUGGAUUAUUACUUAAUUUUGUUUUUAAAUUGGUGUGAACAGUAAGUGGUAUGCUAUGUUUACUUCUGUUUUGGCUGCCAGAAUGCUUUUGUUAGAUUUGACAGAACUUCAUUUUACAUUUGUGGUUUAUGGUAAAUAAAAAGCAUCUAAAGGCAGAGACUGUGUAGGGGAGGUGAGUGAGCAAAGAAUCCCAGCUUUCCUGAAUCCCAGCAGUCACUGGUGGUACUAGCUCUAUUAGGAGACAGGGCCUCAGUGUCUUCUGAAUGCUGUGGGAGUUGAUCUAGAUGGUCAGUAAGAAAAUUUCUGUGGGAGCUUAACUCUCAUGAUUGUGGCUAAUUUGGCAUUGUAACAUUCUUCGAUUGGUUGUAUUUACUUCUUUUAUGUAAAAUUAAUCAUCUAGGCCAGAGACAAAUGUAUGCUUAUGUGGUUGGGCUUUGAAUGUCACAGUUUUCCUGUGGCCUUUUUUCUUACUUUCUGUUGUGUAACACUGAUAUUCACUUUCUGGAACAUUGUUGUUUCAUAAACAUGAACUAUUACUUUUGGAAGAACAGAUUUGUUGUCAUCCUUUUCUCCAGAUUUAUCUCCUUUUUCUCUCCUUUCCCCAUGUUACAAAUACAGUGCCUCUCUUCUAAACCUUCA